AUAAUAAUAAUAAUAAUAAUAAUAAUAAUAAUAAUAAUAAUAAUAAUAAUAAUAAUAAUAAUAAUAAUAAAAUGAAAAUGUGAUGCUAAAUUAAACAGAGGCGAUUCUGAUAAUGAUGACAAAGUUAUUUUGUAUAAUUUGAAUUAGGUUAUAACAUCACGAUAUACGUUUUAUAGGCCUACGGUUUUUUUGGCUUGUUAUUUUUGGUUUUUAGAAUUCUAGACGGUCAAUCGGAACCAAACUUUAAAAUAAAAAUUAAGACCAAUUAAGGAAAACGCUGUAAGUGCUAUGUAAACCUGUUUAGUGUCACCUCCAUUCUUCCACAGGGAGUCAAAAUAUAAUUAAAAGAUGAAUUAAAUAAAACAGCUGAAAGGAUGAGAGAUCAAAGGGCAAUAGAAGGAAUUGUUUUUAUCAUACCUGCGUUCCACAAUAAAACCAAUUCAAUGAGAUAUCCUUUAAAUAUAUGUAUAUUUUUAAAAUUUUGAAAUAGAUCCGGAUAUCGAAGGCCUACAACGAUGGGAUGUAUUUAUAUCGCACAGUGGUUCAGACAAUGACUGGCAUUUUGUGUUUGGAACACUUAGAGGGUACCUGGAGCAGAACGGUUACACGGUCUGUCUUGCUGAGCGAGAUUUUAUUCCAGGCACAAAUAUACAAGAAGAGUACGUUAGUAACAUAAGUCGGAGCGUACGAACAAUAGUGGUGAUCAGCAGUGAUUACCUGCAUAGCCCGCACUGCAACUUCCAACUAUCAGCCGCCCUCGACAUGUUCCAAGAACGCAAAACAAAGAUAAUCUCAAUAAUUUACAACAAUAUUUCCUCUAAGGAUAUACACGAAUUUCAUCCCAAGUUGGCGAGCGUCUUGAGGAUACUACCAGCCGUGCGAUGGACGGAUAGUCAUGGUUCUGAUAAUGUAGAAGAUAUUUGUAGAAGGCUUAAUGCGUGUUUGCCUCGGCCAUCAAAAUUAACAAUAGAGGAGGAUAAUGACCAAUUGACCUCCAAAUCUCAGAAAGAAAUCGAAUUCACUAAAAAACCUACUUCAGAGAAAUAUGAAUUGUAGUUUCAAUAACUUCAGAAGAUUCAUUUUCCCUAAUUAUAUAUGCUUUUCGCAGCUUUAUUGCAUUUUCUUACGAUGGAGAAGUAGACCAAUUCCAAACCUUAAAUGUAUGACAAUAUCAAGCCCCUACAUUAAUGGUGACAGUUAAAAACUCUUGGUUUAUUUAACAUGAGAUUGUUUAACUUCAUUAAGGUAUUAUCAUUGUGUUCUUUUAAUAUAGGGCUAUUUUGCUUUAGGCCUAUUAAAUUAUAGUUUAUACUA